rnacentral:lncRNA from 1 species
UUCUCUCUCACCCUCUCUGUGCAACUCUCUUGGUCAUUCUCCUCUCUCUGUGCAACUCUUUCCUAUCCAGUAUUUUGCUCUGCAAAUUCCAUCCACCUUUGCCUCUGAAUUCUCAACUCCGUCUCCUCAGCGCAGGAAGACCUUCAGACUCCCAGCACGGUGGCCAGGAAACACUCUGCAAGCAGAAACCUCUAAUGUCACGAAAUACACCAAUGGGUCCACUCUCUGCUAGAUGGAAUCUACUUAAAAUGCACCACAUGGAGCAAAA